GAGAGUAAACAGUGCGUGAAACCGCUCAGAGGUAAACGGGUGGAGUUGAACUGCGAACUCCGAGAAUUCAACUGGUGAGUGUGGUAUGAGCUUGGCAUAAUGGUUGGCUCUGCGGGUCUGCUUAGCUGCAGGUCUUCACCUUUUGGUGGGGAUGCGCGAUACACUUGUCAAGUGUUGCGCGCUCGUUGAGUUACUCGGACAUACUCGCCAGUGCACUUUCUCGGGGUGUUCACCACGACCGGCGCCGCUACUUGUCUAGUAUGGUUAAACCGGUUUUGCUUUGUCCUUGUGGCUUAGUUUGAUCGGGAUGGCAGGUAACUCGUUGACUUGUGUGUUGGCCUCGGUUGACAUGCGCUUGGUUUUCGAGUGUAAUCAGCUGACUGUACUGGUGCUAUGUAGUGCGUCGGAGACGGCGGCUUGUGGUGUGUGCCUGCGUGCCUAUUUGCUGACGGAAUCGGGUUUGGUUAUUUUGUUGCCUGUUCUGCAGGCCUGGUGAUGGCCCGGUUUCGCUUGGUGAGUGGGAGCGUGUGUGACACUUAUCAGGGCCUAUAGUCUGUGGUGUUGUGGUAGACUAUCCACCUGACCCGU
rnacentral:rRNA from 1 species